UACGGAGGGUGCAAGCGUUAUCCGGAUUUACUGGGUUUAAAGGGUGCGUAGGUGGGUUGGUAAGUCAGUGGUGAAAUACUUUCGCUUAACGAAGGAACUGCCAUUGAUACUACCAGCCUUGAAUACAGUGGAGGUAGGCGGAAUGCGUCAUGUAGCGGUGAAAUGCUUAGAUAUGACGCAGAACACCAAUUGCGAAGGCAGCUUGCUACACUGUUAUUGACACUGAGGCACGAAAGCGUGGGGAUCAAACAGG
rnacentral:rRNA from 1 species